rnacentral:lncRNA from 1 species
UUGCCAUUUGUGGUAGCGCUCUAUGCGUCUUACCCUGAAGGUCAAUGGUUCAAGGCUUGUUGGUGGCGAUGAUGGAGCUAUGAUAAUGAUGAUGAUAAUAAUUUACUUGAAAUAAGGUAUUCUAAAAUACCUUUUUUCUAAAAGUUGGUAAUUUGGGUCUUCUAGUCAAAUGGUUAAAUAUUAGUAUUUUUGUCAUUAAGUAUUAGGUUUGAUACUUUUUCUACUCAC